UCUUGAAUUUUCAAAGGGAAAUAACUCCCAUAAGAUGUCUUUCGAUCACUCCAGUCAAAUUAACUAAAUUAUUCCGAAGAGUAGACGAACAAUUUGGUGAAAACAGUUUGUUAAAAUCUUUUACCGUUUUAGAGAUAUAGCGAUAACAAGAAAAGGGGGACGCGAGGAGAUAACUCCUAUAAGAAUAAGUGUUCGGUCACACAGGGUGAGUUUUUAAACCCCCAUUACUGUACAACAUCAUUGACCAAACAUCCAUUCGAUAUGUUGUAAAACAAAAACGCAUCUCAGACGGAAGACGAAAAAGAAAAAAAUCAGAAGAAAAACAAAAGGUCUUUCCACGAAAAGUGGAAAGACCUAAAAAUAACCAAUACAAAUGCAAUAGUAACCCCAUAGGUACAAAUAAAAACCCAUGAACAUGAAAUAUCGAACCCAUAAAAUGAACUAGAACUGCUACAAAACAUCCGCCAG
rnacentral:lncRNA from 1 species